CCCGAGACCAGAGUCCCAUCCCGACAGUCCUUGUCCUGGUGCCCGAGGUCCUUGUCCUCGCAGAGAAUCUGCUGGUCUCGAUUCACUGGCGAGGGCAGUCAGUGCCCCCGGGAGUGCCCAGAUCAGAAACAUGC